rnacentral:rRNA from 1 species
UGCUCGAGUGGCGAACGGGUGAGUAACACGUGGGUGAUCUGCCCUGCACUUCGGGAUAAGCUUGGUAAACUGGGUCUAAUACCGGAUAGGAGCCAUCUUUAGUGUGGUGGUUGGAAAGUUUUUUCGGUGUAGGAUGAGCUCGCGGCCUAUCAGCUUGUUGGUGGGGUAAUGGCCUACCAAGGCGGCGACGGGUAGCCGGCCUGAGAGGGUGUACGGCCACAUUGGGACUGAGAUACGGCCCAG